rnacentral:tRNA from 1 species
UCCUGGGCCAUUAGCUCAGGUGGUUAGAGCGCACCCCUGAUAAGGGUGAGGUCCCUGGUUCAAGUCCAGGAUGGCCCAU